rnacentral:sRNA from 1 species
AUUUAUACAAUUAUUAAUUUAUAAUAUUGAUGAGACCAUAUAUUUACAUAGGAUUUUAAAAAA